rnacentral:rRNA from 1 species
CGGGUGAGUAAUACAUCGGAACGUGUCUUCUAGUGGGGGAUAACUGCCCGAAAGGGCAGCUAAUACCGCAUGAGACCUGAGGGUGAAAGCGGGGGAUCGCAAGACCUCGCGCUGGAAGAGCGGCAGAUGUCCGAUUAGCUAGUUGGUGAGGUAAAGGCUCACCAAGGCGACGAUCGGUAGCUGGUCUGAGAGGACGACCAGCCACACUGGGACUGAGACACGGCCCAG